rnacentral:rRNA from 1 species
CAGUCGAACGGCAGCACGGGUGCUUGCACCUGGUGGCGAGUGGCGAACGGGUGAGUAAUAUAUCGGAACGUACCUUAUUGUGGGGGAUAACGCAGCGAAAGCUGUGCUAAUACCGCAUAAUCCCUAAGGGGGAAAGCGGGGGACCGUAAGGCCUCGCGCAAUUAGAGCGGCCGAUACCUGAUUAGCUAGUUGGUGAGGUAAAGGCUCACCAAGGCAACGACCAGUAGCUGGUCUGAGAGGACGAUCAGCCACACUGGGACUGAGACACGGCCCAGACUCCUACGGGAGGCAGCAGUGGGGAAUUUUGGACAAUGGGGGCAACCCUGAUCCAGCAAUGCCGCGUGAGUGAAGAAGGCCUUCGGGUUGUAAAGCUCUUUUGUCAGGGAAGAAACAGCAGCUCUAACACAGUUUGCGAAUGACGGUACCUGAAGAAUAAGCACCGGCUAACUACGUGCCAGCAGCCGCGGUAAUACGUAGGGUGCAAGCGUUAAUCGGAAUUACUGGGCGUAAAGCGUGCGCAGGCGGUUAUGUAAGACAGGCGUGAAAUCCCCGGGCUUAACCUGGGAAUUGCGCUUGUGACUGCAUAGCUAGAGUAUGUCAGAGGGGGGUAGAAUUCCACGUGUAGCAGUGAAAUGCGUAGAGAUGUGGAGGAAUACCAAUGGCGAAGGCAGCCCCCUGGGAUAAUACUGACGCUCAUGCACGAAAGCGUGGGGAGCAAACAGGAUUAGAUACCCUGGUAGUCCACGCCCUAAACGAUGCUGACUAGUUGUUCGGGAAUUUAUUCCUGAGUAACGUAGCUAACGCGUGAAGUCAGCCGCCUGGGGAGUACGGUCGCAAGAUUAAAACUCAAAGGAAUUGACGGG